rnacentral:tRNA from 3 species
GGCGCGAUACCCAAGUGGUUAAGGGGCCGGUUUGCAAAACCGUUAUUCGCGGGUUCGACUCCCGCUCGCGCCUCAA